AAAGAUGAAGAGAAUAAGAGGAGGAAGGAGAGAAACUGCACAAAUAAAGAGAGGUGAAGAUAUACGAGCAUUAAGGUUAAAGCCCUAUUAGUUAUGGUUUUUUUAUUUAAAAUUUUGUUAUGCUUGAAAGCAUUUAUAUGUAUUUGUUAUGAAAUAAUAUCACAAACUGACUUUUUGUUGCUUGUAAUUCCAUAAAGAGGUUUGAGGUUUGAACUCCCUAGCCUAC
rnacentral:lncRNA from 1 species